rnacentral:rRNA from 1 species
GAUGAACGCUGGCGGCGUGCCUAAUACAUGCAAGUCGAGCGAACAGACGAGGAGCUUGCUCCUCUGACGUUAGCGGCGGACGGGUGAGUAACACGUGGAUAACCUACCUAUAAGACUGGGAUGACUUCGGGAAACCGGAGCUAAUACCGGAUAAUAUAUUGAACCGCAUGGUUCAAUAGUGAAAGACGGUUUUGCUGUCACUUAUAGAUGGAUCCGCGCCGCAUUAGCUAGUUGGUAAGGUAACGGCUUACCAAGGCAACGAUGCGUAGGCGACCUGAGAGGGUGAUCGGCCACACUGGAACUGAGCCACGGUCCAGACUCCUACGGGAGGCAGCAGUAGGGAAUCUUCCGCAAUGGGCGAAAGCUUGCCGGAGCAACGCCCCGUGAGUGAUGAAGGUCUUCGGAUCGUAAAACUCUGUUAUUAGGGAAGAACAAAUGUGUAAGUAACUAUGCACGUCUUGACGGUACCUAAUCAGAAAGCCACGGCUAACUACGUG